CGACCGGCGCACGGGUGAGUAACACGUAUCCAACCUGCCGAUGACUCGGGGAUAGCCUUUCGAAAGAAAGAUUAAUACAAGAUGGCAUCAUGAGUCCGCAUGUUCACAUGAUUAAAGGUAUUCCGGUAGACGAUGGGGAUGCGUUCCAUUAGAUAGUAGGCGGGGUAACGGCCCACCUAGUCUUCGAUGGAUAGGGGUUCUGAGAGGAAGGUCCCCCACAUUGGAACUGAGACACGGUCCAAACUCCUACGGGAGGCAGCAUG
rnacentral:rRNA from 1 species